rnacentral:rRNA from 1 species
GGUGAACGCUGGCGGCGUGCCUAAGACAUGCCAGUCGAGCGGGGCAGGUUUAUACCUGUUCAGCGGCGGACGGGUGAGUAACGCGUGGGUGACCUACCCGGAAGAGGCGGACAACCUGGGGAAACCCAGGCUAAUCCGCCAUGUGGUCCUGUCCUGUGGGGCAGGACUAAAGGGGCGACCCGCUUCCGGAUGGGCCCGCGUCCCAUCAGCUAGUUGGUGGGGUAAAGGCCCACCAAGGCGACGACGGGUAGCCGGUCUGAGAGGAUGGCCGGCCACAGGGGCACUGAGCCACGGGCCCCACUCCUACGGGAGGCAGCAGUUAGGAAUCUUCCGCAAUGGACGGAAGUCUGACGGAGCGACGCCGCUUGGAGGAGGAAGCCCUUCGGGGUGUAAACUCCUGAACUGGGGACGAAAGCCCCGUGUAGGGGGAUGACGGUACCCAGGUAAUAGCGCCGGCCAACUCCGUG